GAUGAACGCUGGCGGCGUGCCUAAUACAUGCAAGUCGAGCGAACGGACGAGAAGCUUGCUUUUCUGAUGUUAGCGGCGGACGGGUGAGUAACACGUGGAUAACCUACCUAUAAGACUGGGAUAACUUCGGCAAACCGGAGCUAAUACCGGAUAAUAUUUUGAACCGCAUGGUUCAAAAGUGAAAGACGGUCUUGCUGUCACUUAUAGAUGGAUCCGCGCUGCAUUAGCUAGUUGGUAAGGUAACGGCUUACCAAGGCAACGAUGCAUAGCCGACCUGAGAGGGUGAUCGGCCACACUGGAACUGAGACACGGUCCAGACUCCUACGGGAGGCAGCAGUAGGGAAUCUUCCGCAAUGGGCGAAAGCCUGACGGAGCAACGCCGCGUGAGUGAUGAAGGUCUUCGGAUCGUAAAACUCUGUUAUUAGGGAAGAACAUAUGUGUAAGUAACUGUGCACAUCUUGACGGUACCUAAUCAGAAAGCCACGGCUAACUACGUG
rnacentral:rRNA from 1 species